rnacentral:rRNA from 1 species
AUUGAACGCUGGCGGCAGGCCUAGCACAUGCAAGUCGAACGGUAGCACAGAGAGCUUGCUCUCGGGUGACGAGUGGCGGACGGGUGAGUAACGUCUGGGAAACUGCCCGAUGGAGGGGGAUAACUACUGGAAACGGUAGCUAAUACCGCAUAACGUCGCAAGACCAAAGUGGGGGACCUUCGGGCCUCACACCAUCGGAUGUGCCCAGAUGGGAUUAGCUAGUAGGUGGGGUAAUGGCUCACCUAGGCGACGAUCCCUAGCUGGUCUGAGAGGAUGACCAGCCACACUGGAACUGAGACACGGUCCAGACUCCUACGGGAGGCAGCAGUGGGGAAUAUUGCACAAUGGGCGCAAGCCUGAUGCAGCCAUGCCGCGUGUAUGAAGAGGGCCUUCGGGUUGUAAAGUACUUUCAGCGGGGAGGAAGGCGGUGAAGUUAAUAGCUUCACCGAUUGACGUUACCCGCAGAAGAAGCACCGGCUAACUCCGUGCCAGCAGCCGCCGCAG